AACGCGAAGAACCUUACCAAGGCUUGACAUAUAGCGAAAAGUGGCAGAGAUGUCAUGUCCGCAAGGGCGCUAUACAGGUGGUGCAUGGUUGUCGUCAGCUCGUGUCGUGAGAUGUUGGGUUAAGUCCCGCAACGAGCGCAACCCUCGUUCUGUGUUACCAGCAUUAAGUUGGGGACUCACAGGAGACUGCCGGGGUUAACUCGGAGGAAGGUGGGGAUGACGUCAAAUCAUCAUGCCCCUUAUGUCUUAGGCUGCACGCAUGCUACAAUGGCCGGUACAAAGUGCUGCGAAAUCGUAAGAUUUAGCGAAUCACAUAAAGCCGGUCUCAGUUCGGAUUGAGGUCUGCAACUCGACCUCAUGAAGUUGGAGUUGCUAGUAAUCGUAGAUCAGCAACGCUACGGUGAAUACGUUCCCGGGUCUUGUACACACCG
rnacentral:rRNA from 1 species